GGCGCGUGGCGGCGGCCUUCCCGGGAGCGCGCGGCUGUUGCGGUCGAAGACUCGGGGUGAAAGCUGCUCUCAGCUCGGCAGGACGCGGGCUCCGCCGCCCGGGGUUCCUCGCGCCUCGCCGCACGGAGUCCCCCUCGCCCCGCUGCUCGGGGUUCCCACAGACUCCCCACCCCCUGGGCGACCAGUUCCUGGGUGGCGGGCUGCUAAGGGAGGAGCUCUUUCGGAGAUAGGUGCCUUCAAACCCCGCUCCCGUGUUUUUAAGCUCCAAAUAAGCAAGGAUUCUUUUUUCCCGGUUGAGAUGGGUUGCCACAUUUAUAUUGACUUUUAUUGCUGUAAAAUGUACCAUUUUAACCACUUUUAAGCGUGCAGUUCUGUGGCAUUAAGUACCUUUAUAUCGCUGGGCAACCAUCUCCACCCUCCAUCUCCGGAACGUUUUCAUUUUCUUAAACUGGAACUCUGUUCCUUACACAGUAACUCCCAAUUUCCCCCUUCCCCUUGUAAAAAUUUAUUUUUAGCUUUAAACUGAUUUAGGUGUCAGUGAAGAUAGGAGUAUGUGAUAUAAAUUGUCCCACUCUGGGUGCUGCCCCCCCAGUUCUGUUCCUGGAAGUAUCAGCAAAUAGCUUUCUUCCUCUUAGGUGUUUCUUGGAGAUCAUCUCCGAUGAUCUAGACUUGCCAUAACUUGUCCACCGCGUCCCCUGUUGGUUGACAGUUGGGUUGUUACCAGUUUUUGGACACAAGCUGCUUUUUUGUGCAAGUGUGAGUUCUUCUGUAGGAGAAAUCUCUGGAAUUGGCAUUGCUGGGCCCAGCAGGAUGUGCCUAAAGUAAUGUUGAUAGCUCUUGGCAAGUUCCCUCUGGAAGUUCCAUUGAUCAUUGAAGCCCAACCACCAAAGUAAGGGAGCCGGAACCUUCCCCAGCACGGCGGCUCCCCCUCCGCCUGACACAUGAAAAAUGGUAUCUCACUGCCGUUUACAGCUGUGUUUCUGAGGGUUGUUAUUUUAAGUUUUUCUUGGAAUCACUUUUCGGUUUCAUGCAAAGCCACUGAAACUUCUCUGAAGAGUUGCUGGUGGAUUGCUCUGGACAGCGGUGGCGGUGUGUUCUCUGAGCCCCAGAAGAAAGGUCACCCGUGAACCUCAGUGAUGUGUGCUGUGCUGUGGUAGUGAUGUGAGGGACAGCGCAGACGUUCAUGACACAUCUGUUCUGCGGCAGGUGAGGACACAGCAGGAAGACACCAGCCGUGAACCUGGAAGGGGCUCUCACCAGACACUGAAUCUGCCAGCACCUUGAUCUUGGACUUCCAGCCUCCAGAACUGUGAGAGCUCAGUGGUAUUUAAGCCGCCAGCCCGUGGUGGUGUUUGGCAUAGCAUCCUGAACAGACUAAGACAGUACCACAUGCAUGGUGGUAGGUGCAGGGAAAACGGAGUCAGCUUGAAGUGUCAAGGUCGAGGGGCAACAACGAAGCCUGGAGCAUCUCCCACAGUCCUCCUCACAUUUCCUGUCUUGUUUCAAAGCUUUUUUUUUUUUUUAAUGUGGUAAAAUAUACGUAACGUAAAAUUUACCAUCUUAACCAUUUUCAAGUGUGCGGUUCAGUGGCAGUAGGGGCACUCACAUUGUUAUGCAGCCAUCACCACUAUCAUCUCCAGAACUCUCUGAUCUUCCCAAACUGAGACUCUGUCCCCGCUAAAUACUGACUGCCCACCCCUCCUCCAGCCCCUGGCAGCCACCCUUCUACUGUCUGUGUCUGAACUUGUCUACCCCAGGGACCUCAUACAAGUGGAAUCCUAUAGGAUUUGUCCCUAUGUGUCUGGCUUAUUUCACUGAGCAUAAUGUCCUCAGGGUUCAUCCAUGUGGUAGCAGGUGCCAGAAUUUCCUUCCUGUUUAAGGCCGAGUGAUAAUAUUCCGUUGUAUGGACGGACCACGUUUUGCUUAUCCAUUUAUCCGUCAGUGAAUAAUUGUGGUGCUUCUGCCUCUUGGCUGUUGUGAGUAAUGCUGCUGUGAACGUGGGUGUCAAACAUCCCUUAAAGUUCCUGCUUUCAGUUCUUUUGAGUGGAAUUGCCCAGUGGUAGAAUUGCUGGCUCAUAUGGUAGUUCUGUGUUUAAUUUUUUGAGGAAACUCCAGACUGUUUUCCACGCGCCUGCACCAUUUUACAUCCCCACCAACAGUCACAAGCUUCCCGUUUCUCUAUGUCCCCACUGACACUUGUUCUUUUCUUUUCUUCUUUUUUUGUGGUAGCCAUCCUAAGGGCUGUGAAGUGUGAACUGGUGUCUCAUUGUGGUUUGAUGUGCAUUCCCAGAUUUCCUUUUAUUUGUGGUGAUUUCUCAAUGUUGAUGAGAGAGCACGUGGGAUGGUGUUUCUCAAACGUUGGCAUGCGUACCAGUCACCCAGGGAGUGUGCUGAAAUGCAGGUUCUGAGUCAGGAGGUCUGGGAAUCUGCCUGUGUAGCCAGCGCCCCAGGUGUCGACGGCAGAAGCUGCUGGGUGAGGGCCACACCGUGAGCAGCAAAGAUGGAUAACACAGUGCACAGGGGCCCUGCAGUCAGGCCAGCCCAGCGUGUGGGUAACUUUCUUAGCCACAGAGAGCAUGUUUCCUACAGCAGAGAAGUGUUCCCUGAAGGGACUUAAUGGACGGGAGGUGACUUGAAAAGAUGAUAUGUGUCUGUACGUAGAUUUUUUUUAUUGCCCCUUCGUUUCAAUUCAGUCCACUCUGGAGAUCCUCAGCAGCGAGGUUAUUCUGGAACCUGGGGCGUGUGAAACACCAGGGAGUGAGGCAGUGGGAGAUGGAAAGGGAGGGAGUCUCCUCUCCCGGGAGAUUACCUUGGUGGGGGAGGAUUCGCUACUUACAGGAAAGGUGACACUGCAGAGGUGAUGAGGUGCAGGUAGACUGCACCGCGAGGUAGUACACAUGGGCGGUGCAGACGC